GUGAGAUGUUGGGUUAAGUCCCGCAACGAGCGCAACCCUUGUCCUUAGUUACCAGCGGGUUAAGCCGGGAACUCUAAGGAUACUGCCAGUGACAAACUGGAGGAAGGCGGGGACGACGUCAAGUCAUCAUGGCCCUUACGACCAGGGCUACACACGUGCUACAAUGGUAGGUACAGAGGGCAGCUACACAGCGAUGUGAUGCGAAUCUCAAAAAGCCUAUCGUAGUCCAGAUUGGAGUCUGCAACUCGACUCCAUGAAGCUGGAAUCGCUAGUAAUCGUAGAUCAGCAUGCUACGGUGAAUACGUUCCCGGGUCUUGUACACACCGCCCGUCACACCACGGAAGUCGAUAACACCUGAAGCCGGUGGGCCAACCAUUUAUGGAGGCAGCCGUCGAAGGUGGGAUGGAUGACUGGGGUGAAGUCGGAACAAGGUAGCCGUAUCGGCGUCAACGCGGCCG
rnacentral:rRNA from 1 species